GACGAACGCUGGCGGCGUGCCUAAUACAUGCAAGUCGAGCGCAGGAAGUCGACGGAACCCUUCGGGGGGAAGUCGACGGAAUGAGCGGCGGACGGGUGAGUAACACGUAAAGAACCUGCCCUCAGGUCUGGGAUAACCACGAGAAAUCGGGGCUAAUACCGGAUGGGUCAUCGGACCGCAUGGUCCGAGGAUGAAAGGCGCUUCGGCGUCGCCUGGGGAUGGCUUUGCGGUGCAUUAGCUAGUUGGUGGGGUAAUGGCCCACCGAGGCGACGAUGCAUAGCCGACCUGGGAGGGGGAUCGGCCACACUGGGACUGAGACACGGCCCAGACUCCUACGGGAGGCAGCAGUAGGGAAUCUUCCACAAUGGACGAAAGUCUGAUGGAGCAACGCCGCGUGAACGAUGAAGGCCUUCGGGUCGUAAAGUUCUGUUGUAAGGGAAGAACAAGUGCCGCAGGCAAUGGCGGCACCUUGACGGUACCUUGCGAGAAAGCCACGGCUAACUACGUGCCAGCCGCCGCAGUAACAC
rnacentral:rRNA from 1 species